rnacentral:rRNA from 1 species
GGAUCCCAUCAGAACUCCACAGUUAAGCGUGCUUGGGCGAGAGUAUUAUUAGGAUGGGU